CUUACAAAACGAGCUCUAAAUAUCUCUGCUCAUCAAUCACUUUUGUCUGCAUUUGAAACUCUGCUUUCGGUUCUCUCUCUCGAACCCUAAGUUCAGUUGCCAUAGAAAUUUAGCAUCCCUCUGUUCCACCCCAACUCUGUUCCUACGACCACUAGAUAUCGUGCCUCCUAGCCGUUCUUGAAACUUUACUUUCCUCUAAGUUUUUCCACUCAACAGACUUCCGAUCCCACGCAAACCCAUUACACUGGUCGUCCGAUUAACUUCAAUAACACCCCCGUCAGCUUUUUCCUAUUGUUCAGACCUAUCUCAAGCAGGUUUGUUUUAUCAGUUUCUUGAACCCGUUCUUUGUGAUUUCAGUUUCUUGAACCUGUUCUUUGUGAUUUCUUGGGAAAAAAUCGGUAGUUACGUGUUAAGAAUUGAAUUUUAUUUACCAUUUUUAACACCUUUUCAACUUAAAUUAUUGGAAUAUCAUGAUGUCCAUGUCUUUUACUUGAAUUGAUUUCUUUAAUUUGGGAGAACACUACUAGAGAUACAGCAGAUGCGGAGUCAGUUCUGCUGCUCAUUCUUUAAUUGAUUUGAUAACUAACUCUAACAGGUACUUCCUUCCAUGAAUCCACGAGCAAUUCAAAAGCAUUUUAGAGGAUGAAGAGAAGAAGAAGAGAAAGUAUAUUAGGGCCUUGUUUGAGCCCUAUUUUGGGGGGAGAAAAUGAAUUUUUGAACAGUGUAUUGAUGGAAAAUGUGUGGUUAAAAAAUAAGUCAAAAUUUUGAAUUUACGUGUAAUAUUAUUUUAUUGAAAAAUGUGUGGUUGAAAUGAUAUCAAUACACUGUUUAAGAAUGUAUUCUUUUGGAGAAAAUGGGGCUCAAACAAGGGCUAGAUUUCUAUAGCCAAAUAAUUGGGUUUUAGAUCAUAAGUUUGUUGAUUUCAUGUUUUUCAUGGUAAUAUAUUUGCAUCUUGCACCAUUUGAUGAUGUUACUCAAGCAUUUUCGAGGGAAAGGUAUGAUUAUCAACAGAGAAACCUGGUUUAUUCGGAGUUCAGAUUACUUGCAAAUUAUGUAAUUUGACCAAUAACAUCCAUUUCGUCGCAGAUUCAAAGGUUUUUUUGUUUAGUAGAAUAUCUUACCUUGCAAAUUCAGUUCAACAACAUAAUGUUUGAAGCAAUUUUCCAAUUUCUUGAGAAUGAGGAUUGGGUGGAUUGUGUAUUUACCAAUUAUGACUUUGGUUUCUCUUCACUUCAUUAAAAUGACAUUUGUUAUCUAGAUAUGAGCUUCAUUUUGGCCCUUUAUUGCAAGUCUUUC
rnacentral:lncRNA from 1 species